rnacentral:rRNA from 1 species
AGUGAACGCUGGCGAUAGGCCUAACACAUGCAAGUCGAACGGCAGCACAGUAAGAGCUUGCUCUUACGGGUGGCGAGUGGCGGACGGGUGAGGAAUACAUCGGAAUCUACUUUUUCGUGGGGGAUAACGUAGGGAAACUUACGCUAAUACCGCAUACGACCUACGGGUGAAAGCAGGGGAUCUUCGGACCUUGCGCGAUUGAAUGAGCCGAUGUCGGAUUAGCUAGUUGGCGGGGUAAAGGCCCACCAAGGCGACGAUCCGUAGCUGGUCUGAGAGGAUGAUCAGCCACACUGGAGCUGAGACACGGUCCAGACUCCUACGGGAGGCAGCAGUGGGGAAUAUUGGACAAUGGGCGCAAGCCUGAUCCAGCCAUACCGCGUGGGUGAAGAAGGCCUUCGGGUUGUAAAGCCCUUUUGUUGGGAAAGAAAAGCAGCAGGUUAAUACCCCGCUGUUCUGACGGUACCCAAAGAAUAAGCACCGGCUAACUUCGUG